AUGGUUACUACUUCACUGAUUUGUGUUUUUACACUAUUUACUAUUUUGAAAUUUCUUGAGCAAUGGCCCUAUGUAUGGUAAGCUAGACGUAUUCAAUUCCUGCCAUCCUCAAAAACAUUCGACAGAGGUACUUUAAGUUCAUGAGUACCUGUAAUGGAUGGGUGGGAGGAGUUCUCUGGAGACGUGGUGAUGAGCGAGAUCAACAGUCCCUACCCUUGUGUUGUUAAUUCCAGUGUUUGGAAAAACUGAACAAGUUAUGACACAAAGUAUGAUAAUUGUUUUGAUUGAGAAGUAAGAAGGUGCUCCGAAAAUAGUGAGAAUACCUUAGCUUAUCUAGGUGGCAUCAGGGAAGGCUACUCAGAGGAAGUGGCAUUUCCAAUGACAAAGGACAAAUAGGUAUAUCAGUGAAGAAUGGGGAGACUUCUACAAGAGAAACAUAAAGUUCUAUCUUUUGUAAGCCAUUGCUAGUUGAGCGUUUAUGUAACAUACACACAAACCUGUAUCAUAAUGAAUACAUUCUUUUACCAGAGUAGCUACUUCAUUAAGUAGCUGGCAUGACCUGCCUCUCCUGUGAGCUGGAAGUCAGAGCUACUGGACAGGCAAGUGUUGGGAGUAGCUUUGAGCUCCUGGAUAAAGGGCUCUGGGUUGCUGGCUGUUUAUUUCUCUUUAGGGAGGCUAUUUUUUUGAGGGAGUGGCCCCUGAAAAUCUUAAAACAUACAAAAACAAAAGGCCUGUCAUACGCUCAUACCCCUGCAGUUUCUCAGACAGGUUCCUUUCUGUGAGCUUACCAUUAAUUCUGGAAGGCAGUUUCGAUCUUGGAGCUCCUUGACAGAACUCUCUUCUAGUGCCUCAUCUUUGGGAGCGUUCCCCCUAACAGCAGCAAUCGUGGGGGCCAUUUUACCACUUUUGUUUUCAGGGUGAAGGAUUAUUUCUGAGGUUUAGUGAGUUUGCUCUGGAAAGAGGCUGAGAAGACUUAGCUGUCAUGUGUCUUCUGACAUCUGUCACCUAAAUUCCAGCAGAGCCAUGUAAAUAUGAAACACCAGCCCAGUAAAUUAGUCAGUACGCUGAUGAGUAUGUGUUCAUUAACUGGACCCACUAUUGACUCAGGUACAUCACUGAAGAGAUUAAAAAAUGCUGGAAUAGUGGAUACCUCUCCAUAAUGUGAUUAACUUCUUACUCAUGUCUCUAGGAUGCAUUAAAUUUGUAAUAAGUGAGAGAACUGUGUAGCUGUCAUUGUUGGUUGUCUAGCAUCCAAACACCAUUUCUGUUUUGGUGAAUCCAAGAUGAGUGGAGGUCAAGAUCUGGCUUCCCCCUCUAGAAGCUGAAGAGGAGGAGACAAGCCCCCUCUGGAUUCCUUGGACCUGCCUGUGGACAUUUCGCCAAGGCUCAGCCAGUCAGAGGCCCUUUGCCGAGAGUUUGGAUCUGCAGGGAGUGACAACCAGGCCAGCGGUCGUUCAGAAUGGCUGGGCGGAAUUGAGCCUCGAGCAGGUGGUGCCAAGUGUCCGGGGCUGAUGACGCCAGGGCCGACACCUGCUCGCUGAACCUCUGGUGCCAUCUUGACUUUGCAUGUGCCCCUGAGUUCCUGUAUCCAAGGCUGUCUCUCCAGUCUUCCUGAAAUUCUUUGAGACACCUGGUAUCCUCCCAAUAAUUUUUUUCUGUAAAGUUA